UCAGUUUGUUUAGUACCUAUAACAAUCAAAACUGAUGUGCUUGAUAUCAUUCAUAUUUUCUUUAACAACUCAUCAAUGGAUAUUAAAGCUCAAAGAAAGGAGAAGAUUGAAGUUUGAACAACAUACAAAAAAACUCUGAAUAAAUAUUUCAUAAGUAAAAUGAUAUGAAAAGUGAGGGUCCUGUUAUGAAGCUUAUGGGAUUUGGAUCGUGAAAUUCAAUUGGGAAAGAGCGAAGAAACAAACCGAAAGCGAUUAUAAAAUAUUUAUUCUGAGUUUUUUUGAAUCGCAACAUAACAUACCAAAAACCAAAUCGCUAAAAAGAAAUUCAGAAUCCGAUUGUGAAAUUGGAUGGGAAGACAAGAAACAAACCGAAAGCGAUUAUGGUGUCAACCCAUCUAGUUCUGUCAGAUGGAGAGGACAGUAAGCUAGUAGCAAAACAGAGGAGGGCGAUGGUGGAGAAGUCAUGUUGGAAAGAAACGGAGGAGGAGGGCGCUGGGGCUUGCGGUGGUCAACGAGGAGUGAAACAGUGGACCAGUGGUAGGAGUUGCAGAAGUGGAGGGAUUAAAACGCGAUUAAAUUUUUUUUAGGAAUGGAGACAAAAAGUUAAAAUUGUUGGAUUAUUCAUAAAGGUAUUCAACUUAAGGGAGGAAUUUUUUAAUUUAUUUUUGGAUAAAUGAAUUAUUGUUUAAAUAUCAUUGUUAAUAAAACAAAACCAAGUCCAAAAAAAAAAAAAAACACAAAGUAAUAAAACACGAUA